UAAUACCCAAUCCUGACACAGGGAGGUAGUGACAAGAAAUAACAAUACGGGGCUUGAAGUCUUGUAAUUGGAAUGAUGGGAAUCUAAACCCCUUCCAGAGUAUCAAUUGGAGGGCAAGUCUGGUGCCAGCAGCCGCGGUAAUUCCAGCUCCAAUAGCGUAUAUUAAACUUGUUGCAGUUAAAAAGCUCGUAGUUGAAUUUCUGCUGUUUCGUUGACUGCGCUUGGCGUUUGUCAUCGUUGCGGCUUGGUUGGGUUUCGAUUAUUCGUUUCCCGGCGUUUACUUUGAGAAAAUUAGAGUGCUUGAAGCAGGCUUUUGCCUUGAAUACUUUAGCAUGGAAUAACGGAGUAGGACUUUGGUUCUAUUUUGUUGGUUUUAGGAGCCAGAGUAAUGGUUAAUAGGAACAGUUGGGGGCAUUCCGUAUUU
rnacentral:rRNA from 1 species